ACAGUCUGAAAAUUGCCUUUGGCCUCUCUGUAGCUUUGGGUAAUAUAUCUGUGCCAACAGAGAUCUGGGGCAUUAAGCUUAUUACCCAUAACAAUAUGUGUGUGUAAUGAAACCCAUGUCCCUACACUG